rnacentral:rRNA from 1 species
AGGACGAACGCUGGCGGCGUGCCUAACACAUGCAAGUCGAACGCGCUCCAUUCGGUAGCAAUACUGAUGAAGAGCGAGUGGCGAACGGGUGAGUAGCACGUGAGCAACCUGCCCCGAAGACUGGGACAACACCGGGAAACCGGUGCUAAUACCGGAUAUCCCUAUUGGAUCGCAUGAUCCGAUAAGGAAAUGUUUUUCGCUUCGGGAGGGGCUCGCGGCCUAUCAGCUAGUUGGUGGGGUAACGGCCCACCAAGGCAUCGACGGGUAGCUGGUCUGAGAGGACGAUCAGCCACACUGGGACUGAGACACGGCCCAGACUCCUACGGGAGGCAGCAGUGGGGAAUCUUGCGCAAUGGGCGAAAGCCUGACGCAGCAACGCCGCGUGGAGGACGAAGGCUUUCUGAGUUGUAAACUCCUUUCAGCAGGGACGAUUGUGACGGUACCUGCAGAAGAGCACCGGCCAACUACGUGCCAGCAGCCG